ACGUUAGCGGCGGACGGGUGAGUAACACGUGGGUAACCUACCUAUAAGACUGGGAUAACUUCGGGAAACCGGAGCUAAUACCGGAUAAUAUUUCGAACCGCAUGGUUCGAUAGUGAAAGGUGGUUUUGCUAUCACUUAUAGAUGGACCCGCGCCGUAUUAGCUAGUUGGUAAGGUAACGGCUCACCAAGGCGACGAUACGUAGCCGACCUGAGAGGGUGAUCGGCCGCACUGGAACUGAGACACGGUCCAGACUCCUACGGGAGGCAGCAGCG
rnacentral:rRNA from 1 species